UCAUAGAUAGGAUAGACCGGAGAUCAGCCAGUCAGUUGUCGUAGAGUUCAAACUCUAGGUUGUCGUCAUGUGACACUUUAAUCUAGGGUCAAAGAAACCAAGCGCCUGUUACGUUACUGGCCUUACUAGCACAUUACGUAGUGACGAGUUAUCCAGAAAGGAAUGGAAAGAAAGGCAUUGGAGCAUUUGAAACAUCGUUGGGGAGAGAUGACAUAUCGACCAGUAGGCAGG